rnacentral:rRNA from 1 species
AGCCAAGUAGCGUGCAGGAUGACGGCCCUAUGGGUUGUAAACUGCUUUUAUACAGGAAUAAAGUUAGCCACGUGUGGUUAUUUGUAGGUACUGUAUGAAUAAGGACCGGCUAAUUCCGUGCCAGCGAGCCGCGGUAAU